UAGCUUUGUAAAUGAAAAAUUAUAUUUUCACUAAUUUUAACAAAUUUACCAUCAAUACCGAUGCUGCAUCCAUUGUGUUCAACAGGUUUUCUUGCUGGUUUUCCACUGGUAAUUAGAUAUUUUGAAGAAUAUGAGUAAUUGAACAGUUGAUGGACCCCAGUGACUUUCAUAGUAUGGGAAAUAAUGCUAUGUAAGUGAAUGGGAAUCAGAAACUCUUUGGUUCCCAUUACCAACAUUCUUCAAAAGACCUUUUGUGUUCAGCUGAUGAAAGAAACUCAUCCAGGCUCGGAACAACUUGAGGCUGAGUACGUCUGCCAAGAGUAGAAAAAGGAAGACCAAAAUUGAAACUACACUUGAAGUCUUUUCUGAAAAGAUUAGCAGUGCUCUCGAGACAGACGACUCAGAGCUUCACUCGAGGAUGCAAGCAGCACUAUAUAUGACUAUAUACUUUUUUAUAUGAUAUCGCUCAAAUCGAUUGGGAUAAAAUUAAUUUAAUUAAUUUAUUCUAUUUAGCAUUUGGAAAUCAGCAUUUGUUGUUCCUCUGUCAAAAGGGGAUGAUCUUUCUUCAAUGGAUAAUCACAGACCUAUAUCAAAGCUAUGUAUUCUCUCAAAAAUUUAGGAAAAUCUACACUGUAAAAAAUUUAAUGUAAAAAAACAGUGAAAUGCUUGGCAGCACAGGGUGCCAAGCGUUUACCAUUAAUGGAAAUAACGGUUAAAGAACGUUUUUUUAAAAACGGUCAAUGAAUGGCAGAAGCAGCUGCCAAACAAAAACUGUACAAUUAAGGUACAACAUCCUUGUUUUUUCUUAAUUUUUUUUUUUUUUUACUUUACAGGUAGUGUCUGGAUUAUAAUUGUGAAACAUUCUCUGUGAAUUUUUUUUUUUUUUUUGCAGUUAACCAU